UACAGAGGUGGCAAGCGUUGUUCGGAAUUACUGGGCGUAAAGGGCGCGUAGGCGGCCUUCUAAGUCAGACGUGAAAUCCCCCGGCUUAACCUGGGAACUGCGUCUGAUACUGGAGGGCUUGAAUGCGGGAGAGGGAUGCAGAAUUCCAGGUGUAGCGGUGAAAUGCGUAGAUAUCUGGAGGAAUACCGGUGGCGAAGGCGGCAUCCUGGACCGACAUUGACGCUGAGGCGCGAAAGCUAGGGUAGCAAACGGG
rnacentral:rRNA from 1 species